AGGCUGCAUUGGUCUUUCGCUCUGCACAAUAGAGGACAAACCGCCUGCGUGUCAACACGGACUUCUGGGUGAAACUUUUCCACAGACGUCCUCCAUUUUUGCUUGUUGUCCAGAAAAGCUGAAAAGACUCGUGCAGCCCAGCCAGGAAACGCCAAAUUGUUGUGGAAAUUAGACAACACUCACAGACUCGUCCUCUGAAGAAACUCCUACUUCCACAAGACCUGUUCCCAUAGUAACACUUCACAAACUCAAGCAUGGUGCUUACUCUCAGAUAACCAAGGAGAACAUGAACCAAGACCCAAAUCUUGAGUGUCAUCCAAAUCAGAAUUCAAACUCAGAGGAUGAGGAGAAUGAUUUUUGGGAAAAGCCAUGUGCCUUCACUCCAGAGUCAAGACUGGAUGCAUGUCGCCAUCUAGAGGAGAAGAGGAGAGCAAAAGAGAGAGUGAGAGAACCAAAGAGGAAGGAUAAACCUCCCAGAACUCUGAUCACGUCUGAGGGAAGAGUGCUGAACGUGAAUGAACCAAAGUUGGACUUUACUCUAAGUGAAAAUGAAGAAAAGAACUGUGUGCUUCUGGAUCUGCAUGUAUACAGGCAUUUAGACACCUCCUUGCUGGAUGUGGAUGUUCAGACUACAGGGUGACUGUCAAAGGAAAGUGAUUUGUUGGAGUUUUUACAGGUGUUUCAGUUGGUUUGCCUGCUGAGGUUAAAACAGACAGAAGUACAGCACAAAGAUCUCAAACUUCUGGACACCUGCUUAUCACCAUGCUCAAGGGUGAUUUCUAGUUGUCAGAGAUUAGAAGUUGACCCCAGCAAAAGCUUUGCUGUACAAUUGGCCAACAUUGUCCCUAAAGAAAACCACACUACUCAUGGUCCCCUGCAGCUCUCCUGGCCUUGUUGAUCCCAAGAGAAGCCUGUCUCGAAAGACUUUGUCAAUGACCCCGAAGUGCCUCCUCUCAUGUGAGAAACACAAAGAAAGGAAGAAUGUGAGAGAAUGCAUGUAACUGUGUAUAAACCAUGCUUGAUAGCAGUUAUAAAUUCCAGUUUUGGACACUCCAGGCACUGAAUGUUUUGGAAUUUCGCUAAUCAAAUCAAUAAGACUUAUUAAAUAGUUCAAAAGCAGAGUUGUGUGAACAGUGAAAUCAUGAGAUUCCCAAACUUUGAGGAUCAUUGGUGUAAGUGUAUGAGUUAUUUGGAAAGUCAACAUGUAGACUGACUAUUGUUACAACAAAUGGUAAAAUAUUGGUGGUUUAGAGGUUUAUAGGGGUUAGUCUGUAGGGGGCAGAUUUGGGAUGGUAAAAAUGGCUCUAAUUUUAAUAGCAAAACUGUGCACAGUGGUGUUCAGACCUCAAAUGUAUAGACCUCAAAUGUAACAACUGAUAACAGUCAUGUCUCAGAUACAGUU